rnacentral:rRNA from 1 species
CCUACGGGAGGCAGCAGUGGGGGAUAUUGCACAAUGGGGGAAACCCUGAUGCAGCGACGCCGCGUGGGUGAAGAAGCGCCUCGGCGCGUAAAGCUCUGUCAGCAGGGAAGAAAAUGACGGUACCUGGAGAAGAAGCCCCCGCGAACUACGUGCCAGCAGCCGCGGUAAUACGUAGGGGGCAAGCGUUAACCGGAUUUACUGGGUGUAAAGGGGGCGCAGACGGCGAUGCAAGCCAGGAGUGAAAGCCCGGGGCCCAACCCCGGGACUGCUCUUGGAACUGCGUGGCUAGAGUGCAGGAGGGGUAAGUGGAAUUCCUGGUGUAGCGGUGAAAUGCGUAGAUAUCAGGAGGAACACCGGUGGCGAAGGCGGCCUGCUGGACUGCAACUGACGUUGAGGCCCGAAAGCGUGGGGAGCAAACAGGAUUAGAUACCCGUGUAGUC